rnacentral:rRNA from 1 species
GACGAACGCUGGCGGCGUGCUUAACACAUGCAAGUCGAACGGAAAGGCCCUGCUUUUGUGGGGUGCUCGAGUGGCGAACGGGUGAGCAACACGUGAGUAACCUGCCCUUGACUUUGGGAUAACUUCAGGAAACUGGGGCUAAUACCGGAUAGGAGCUCCUGCUGCAUGGUGGGGGUUGGAAAGUUUCGGCGGUUGGGGAUGGACUCGCGGCUUAUCAGCUUGUUGGUGGGGUAGUGGCUUACCAAGGCUUUGACGGGUAGCCGGCCUGAGAGGGUGACCGGCCACAUUGGGACUGAGAUACGGCCCAGACUCCUACGGGAGGCAGCAGUGGGGAAUAUUGCACAAUGGGCGGAAGCCUGAUGCAGCAACGCCGCGUGCGGGAUGACGGCCUUCGGGUUGUAAACCGCUUUCGCCUGUGACGAAGCGUGAGUGACGGUAAUGGGUAAAGAAGCACCGGCUAACUACGUGCCAGCAGCCGCGGUGAUACGUAGGGUGCGAGCGUUGUCCGGAUUUAUUGGGCGUAAAGGGCUCGUAGGUGGUUGAUCGCGUCGGAAGUGUAAUCUUGGGGCUUAACCCUGAGCGUGCUUUCGAUACGGGUUGACUUGAGGAAGGUAGGGGAGAAUGGAAUUCCUGGUGGAGCGGUGGAAUGCGCAGAUAUCAGGAGGAACACCAGUGGCGAAGGCGGUUCUCUGGGCCUUUCCUGACGCUGAGGAGCGAAAGCGUGGGGAGCGAACAGGCUUAGAUACCCUGGUAGUCCACGCUGUAAACGGUGGGUACUAGGUGUGGGGUCCAUUCCACGGGUUCCGUGCCGUAGCUAACGCUUUAAGUACCCCGCCUGGGAAGUACGGCCGCAAGGCUAAAACUCAAAGGAAUUGACGGGGCCCCGCACAAGCGGCGGAGCAUGCGGAUUAAUUCGAUGCAACGCGUAGAACCUUACCUGGGUUUGACAUGGAUCGGGAGUGCUCAGAGAUGGGUGUGCCUCUUUUGGGGUCGGUUCACAGGUGGUGCAUGGCUGUCGUCAGCUCGUGUCGUGAGAUGUUGGGUUAAGUCCCGCAACGAGCGCAACCCUUGUUCACUGUUGCCAGCACGUUAUGGUGGGGACUCAGUGGAGACCGCCGGGGUCAACUCGGAGGAAGGUGGGGAUGACGUCAAGUCAUCAUGCCCCUUAUGUCCAGGGCUUCACGCAUGCUACGAUGGCUGGUACAGAGAGUGGCGAGCCUGUGAGGGUGAGCGAAUCUCGGAAAGCCGGUCUCAGUUCGGAUUGGGGUCUGCAACUCGACCUCAUGAAGUCGGAGUCGCUAGUAAUCGCAGAUCAGCAACGCUGCGGUGAAUACGUUCCCGGGGCU